rnacentral:pre_miRNA from 1 species
CUCCCAAGCGUUGAUGCAUCUACCUGUAUUCUUCUGCCAUGGUACAAUCCAAGGUAAAAGAAAAUAGUUAGAUGCAUGGUAGAAGAAUAUAGGUAGAUGCAUCAACGCUUGGGAAC